rnacentral:rRNA from 1 species
ACGUGAUCUGAGUUCAGACCGGAGUAAUCCAGGUCAGUUUCUAUCUAUAAAGAGCCUUUUCUAGUACGAAAGGACCGAAAAAGCAUGGCCAAUACUCGAUGCAAGCCAUCUCUAAUAAUUUAUGAUUAAAACUUAAUAAAUACUUUGUCUUCAAUAUACCUCAAGAAAAGAGA